rnacentral:rRNA from 1 species
GACGAACGCUGGCGGCGUGCUUAACACAUGCAAGUCGAACGGAAAGGCCCUGCUUUUGUGGGGUGCUCGAGUGGCGAACGGGUGAGUAACACGUGAGUAACCUGCCCUUGACUUUGGGAUAACUUCAGGAAACUGGGGCUAAUACCGGAUAGGAGCUCCUGCUGCAUGGUGGGGGUUGGAAAGUUUCGGCGGUUGGGGAUGGACUCGCGGCUUAUCAGCUUGUUGGUGGGGUAGUGGCUUACCAAGGCAUUGACGGGUAGCCGGCCUGAGAGGGUGACCGGCCACAUUGGGACUGAGAUAAGGCCCAGACUCCUACGGGAGGCAGCAGUGGGGAAUAUUGCACAAUGGGCGGAAGCCUGAUGCAGCAACGCCGCGUGCGGGAUGACGGCCUUCGGGUUGUAACCCGCUUUCGCCUGUGACGAAGCGUGAGUGACGGUAAUGGGUAAAGAAGCACCGGCUAACUACGUG